CUGCGGGGGGAGGGGAGGGCGUCCGAGCUGGGCAGGGCGGAGAGAUGCGCCAGCUGUAAUCUCCGGAGGUGGCCGGGGAGGGGGUCACUCCGGAAGUCUGGGGGCUUUAAGCCCGCGUCCGGAUCGGGGCCGUGUCAUUGUCAGGAAGAAGCCUUAAAAACAAAUGGCAGGUGUGUGGGCACCAGAGAAUCAACACAUCAGGAAGAGAAAAAUGGCAUGGUUUUAGUGUAAUUGUAAAAAGACGCCCUUAACAGU
rnacentral:lncRNA from 1 species